GAUAAACGCUGGCGGCGCACAUAAGACAUGCAAGUCGAACGGAAGUCGUUAUAAAAAGGAUUGAAGAUUUAUCUGAUUGAUAUUUUAUAACAAUGGCUUUAGUGGCGGACUGGUGAGUAACGCGUAAGCAAUCUACCUAUUAGAGGGGAAUAACAAUGAGAAAUCAUUGCUAAUACCGCAUAUGCCAUAGUUAUCACAUGGUGACAGUGGGAAAGGAGCAAUCCGCUAAUGGAUGAGCUUGCGUCUGAUUAGCUAGUUGGUGGGGUAACGGCCCACCAAGGCGACGAUCAGUAGCCGGACUGAGAGGUUGGCCGGCCACAUUGGGACUGAGACACGGCCCAG
rnacentral:rRNA from 1 species